CUAUAAUGACCUAAGAUGCCAACUUUGCAUGACCUCCCUCCUCAUAUAUUUUAGGAAGGAAAGGUGGUAGUUUGCAGAGGUGAGGCAGGGGAGAGGGGCAUAAAAUAAUAUAUUUUCUACUUGGCAUCUGGGGACACUCUCAGCUCUCAGCGCCCAGCCCAGCUCCCUUCAAAAUGUUUGCUGUUCAUGAAAUCCUGUGCAAGCUCAGCUUGCAGGGUGAUCACUUUACACCCCCAAGUGCAUAUGGGUCAAAGCCUACACUAACUUUGAUGCUAAGCAGGAUGCUUUGAAUAUUGAAACGGCCAACAAGACCAAAGGUAUGGAUGUGGUCACCAUUGUUAAUAUUUUGACCAACCACAGCAAUGCACAGAGACAGGAUAUUGCCUUUGCCUACCAGAGAAGGACCAAAAAGGAACUUACAUCAGCACUGAAGUCAGCCUUAUCUGGCCACCUAGAGAUAGUGAUUUUGAGCCUAUUGAGGACACCUGCUCAGUAUGAUACUUCUGAGCUAAAAGCUUCCAAGAAGGGACUGGGAACAGACGAGGACUCCGUCAUUGAGAUAAUCUGCUCAAGAACCAACCAAGGGCUGCAGGAAAUUAACAGAGUCUACAAGGAAAUGUACAAAACUGAUCUGGAGAAGGACAUUAUUUUGGACACAUCUGGUGAUAUCUGCAAGCUGAUGGUUGCCCUGGCAAAGGGCAGAAGAGCAGAGGAUGGCUCUGUCAUUGAUUAACUGAUUGACCAAGAUGCCUGGGAUCUCUACAACACUGGAGUGAAGAGGAAAGGAACUGAUGGUCCUUUCAAGUGGAUCAGCAUCAUGACUGAGCAGAACGUGUCCUAUCUCCAGAAAGUACUUCCUAGGUACAAGAGCUACAGCCCUUAGGACCCACAGGAGAGCAUCAAGAAAGAGGUUAAAGGAGACCUGGAAAAUGCUUUCCUGAACCUGGUCCAGUGCACUCAGAACAAGCCCCUGUAUUUUGCUGAUCAGCUGUACGACUCCAUGAAGUGCAAAGGGACUCGAGAUAAGGUCCUGAUCAGAAUUAUGGUCUCCUGAAGUGACGUGGACAUGUUGAAAAUUAGAUCUUAAUUCAAGAGAAAGUACAGCAAGUCCCUAUACUAUUACACCCAGCAAGACACUAAGGGUGACUACCAGAAAGCGCUGCUGUACCUGUGUGGUGAUGACUGAAGCCCGACACGGCAUGAGCAUCCAGAAAUGGUGCUCCCCAUGCUUCCAGCUGACAGGUCUAGAAAACCAGUUUGCGACUAACAGUCUCUGUGGCUGUCUCUGUGAGGAUGACGUUGGCAUUGCCCCCGACCUCAUUUUAGUUGCCCAAGCAUUGCCUGACUUUCCUGUCUCGUCUUUCCUGUAAGCCAGAGAAGUGAAAUUCCAAGGAGUUGGAAGUAAGUCUAUGAUGUGAAAUACUUUGCCUCCUCUAUAUUGUAUCAUAAACAGAUGAAUAAACUG